rnacentral:piRNA from 1 species
UCCUGUACACUACGUAAAGGCGGUCUU